ACCGCUUCUCGGUCUUUUGGCUAAGAUCAAGUAUGGUAUCUGUCCUUAUCAGUUUAAUAAUUAUCCCUGGAAAAUGGAAGCCCAUUGGUCAGAAAGCUCUAACUUUAUCAUUUGCACCAAAAAAUAUUUUUCAAACCUGAAAGUUUAUUUUUAAGAAAAGGUUUUAUUUUCUGGACAGCCUGCUUUGAGAAUGAUAGGCUUGGGGAAUUCUUA
ensembl:snRNA U2 U2 spliceosomal RNA